GUAAUGUCGAUUUAAAAUACAACUAUGUUUUAGUAAAUAUCGACACUUAUACAAGAUGUCACUAAGGGUAUCUAUUCUGCAUAAUCACGCACCGUAAUGCAAAUGAUUUACAUUAUCAUCUAAUGAGUUACUCUAUCAAUUCUAUCUUUGUCGAGAAAACAUCUAGAUACAAAUAGCAAAAAUACUAGGGGAUCAAACUAUAAAAGCAGGUGCUAAACAAUUAAGGCUAUCGCAAUCAGCUAUAUGUUUGGAUUAAGCACACUUGUGACUGCAUGUGUUCAGUGCGCCUAAUAACGUAUGUGUAUUUAGAUAA
rnacentral:misc_RNA from 1 species